GUGGGGAAUUUUGGACAAUGGGCGCAAGCCUGAUCCAGCAAUGCCGCGUGCAGGAAGAAGGCCUUCGGGUUGUAAACUGCUUUUGUACGGAACGAAAAGGCUCUGGUUAAUACCUGGGGCUCAUGACGGUACCGUAAGAAUAAGCACCGGCUAACUACGUGCCAGCAGCCGCGGUAAUACGUAGGGUGCAAGCGUUAAUCGGAAUUACUGGGCGUAAAGCGUGCGCAGGCGGUUUUGUAAGACAGAGGUGAAAGCCCCGGGCUCAACCUGGGAAUUGCCUUUGUGACUGCAAGGCUGGAGUGCGGCAGAGGGGGAUGGAAUUCCGCGUGUAGCAGUGAAAUGCGUAGAUAUGCGGAGGAACACCGAUGGCGAAGGCAAUCCCCUGGGCCUGCACUGACGCUCAUGCACGAAAGCGUGGGGAGCAAACAGGAUUAGAAACCCGUGUAGUCC
rnacentral:rRNA from 1 species